UGGGGUUUGUUGGAGGCGGGAGAAGGAGUCUGUGGAGGGUGGGUUAGACUCCCGGUUAAAGAAAUAGGCGCGGAGGUGAAGGCGGCGGAAAAAGUGUUCGACAUCCAGAUGUGAAUGGAAUUCAUUGUGUGGGUGGACAGGAAUGAGGGUGAGUCCUUUGCUGAGGACUGACCAUUCGUCCUCACUGAGGCAGAUGUCUGGGGGGAUGGUGAAUACCCGUUGGGGCUUGGGCUAGGUGUAGAGCUGGCAGUACAGUUGGAGCUGGGUGCGGGGGUAGAGUUAGUGACAUUGUUGGCGGCGGGAGCAGCAACGUCAGUGUCAGUGGUGUCGGCGGCAGUCGGCGUCGGUUGUGGUGGUGUUGACGGAAGUGAUGUCGACGGCCUUGAUGUCGGCAGUGUCAGCGUCUGAAGCAGCAGCGUCCACGGUGUAAGUGGCGGCAGCGGCAGCAGAAGCUAUGUGAUGGUGUCGGCGGAAGUGACUAGAUACUCAUCCUGCAUCAGCGAACUUUGUUCCCAUUCAAAAUAUAAUUUUCUGCUUGUGAUCAGAUGGACCAUGGAUUGUCUAAAGAUUGCUCUUGAUUGUACAGACUGGUCCAUUAUGGAAUAGAGGAAGAAAAAAGGAGCAUCAUAAGUAGAAAAGCCAUCAUAUAUCACGUUUACAUUGAUGUUAAAUGAUAUCUAAUUGAAGUAAUUUGCAUUACAAUAGUGUUAAAGUUGAAAUAUUCUCACUGAUGAUGUGGAAACUUUAGUGAACUGCAUGAUCUAACUGACAGCUUCUCAUCCAUAUAGGAUGCAGAAAAGCUGAAAAGAAAAAAAUAAAAACUUUUUUAAAAAUGAGACACUGCUAUAGACUGGUUUCCAACCAUCUCCUUUCCACCUGCCUGUUGUUUUUUAUAGUUUGUAAAAUGUUUUCAUUUCUUUGCAUCAAGUUUGUAUUUUAUGAAGACUAAGCCACUUGAUACUAAUGACUUCAACAAAUGUUGAUUGGUACAAUAUAUACAGGUUUGUACUUUUGUAUACCAUCACAAUCAAGUUUUACCAACAUAUUGUAAUGAACUAAUUUUGCAGGCACUGGUGACAUUUGUACUAAUUCCAUUGCCACUGUUUUUUUUUUAAAAAAAGUCUUGGCGUUCCCUCCCCUCUGGUCUCUCAUUUGUCCUAUGUCUAGUUAAGAGCAUUUUGAACAGGCCUGGGCACAGGGUGGUAAUCUUUAACCUUAGAAUAGGAAAUCCUGAGGUUUUUAUCCUCAUACCAAAAGUAAACAGAAAACACAAGAUCCAACUGGAUAAAAUGUUUAAACAAAUGGAUCAAAUGAGUUAUAAUCAGGGUUAGUUGAACAAAAUUUUUUAAAAGUCUCU